rnacentral:rRNA from 1 species
UACGUAGGGGCUAGCGUUAUCCGGAAUUACUGGGCGUAAAGGGUGCGUAGGUGGUUUCUUAAGUCAGAGGUGAAAGGCUACGGCUCAACCGUAGUAAGCCUUUGAAACUGGGAAACUUGAGUGCAGGAGAGGAGAGUGGAAUUCCUAGUGUAGCGGUGAAAUGCGUAGAUAUUAGGAGGAACACCAGUUGCGAAGGCGGCUCUCUGGACUGUGACUGACACUGAGGCACGAAAGCGUGGGGAGCAAACAGGAUUAGAUACCCUGGAGUCCCUGA